AGUACGCUGGCGGCACGCCUAACACAUGCGAGUCGAACGAAGUAGCAAUACUUAGUGGCAGACGGGUGAGUAACAUGUAGGUAUCUACCCUUUGGCCUGGAAUAACACGAGGAAACUUGUGCUAAUACCGGAUAAGUCUUUACGGAGAAAGCUUUAUGCACCAUUGGAUGAGCCUGCACUUGAUUAGUCUGUUGGUGGGGUAAUGGCCUACCAAGACUGUGAUCAAUAGCUGAUUUGAGAGGAUGAUCAGCCACAUUGGGACUGAGACACGGCCCAAACUCCUACGGGAGGCAGCAGUGGGGAAUCUUGCACAAUGGAGGAAACUCUGAUGCAGCGAUGCCGCGUGAGUGAAGAAGGCCCUUGGGUUGUAAAGCUCUUUCGUCGGGGAAGAAAAUGACUGUACCCGAAUAAGAAGGUCCGGCUAACUUCGUGCCAGCAGCCGCGGUAAUACGAAGGGACCUAGCGUAGUUCGGAAUUACUGCGCUUAAAGAGUUCGUAGGUGGUUGAAAAAGUUA
rnacentral:rRNA from 1 species